GAGAUGUGGGUUAGUCCGUACGAGCGCACCCUAUCCUUAUUUGCCAGCACAUCAUGGUGGGAACUAUAAGGAGACUGCCGGUGAUAAACCGGAGGAAGGCGGGGACGACGUCAAGUCAUCAUGGCCCUUACGACCAGGGNCUACACACGUGCUACAAUGGGAAGGACAAAGAGCCGCGAAGCCGUGGGGUGUAGCUAAUCUCAGAAACCUUCUCGUAGUCCGGAUUGGAGUCUGCAACUCGACUCCAUGAAGUCGGAAUCGCUAGUAAUCGUAGAUCAGAAUGCUACGGUGAAUACGUUCCCGGGUCUUGUACACACCGCCCGUCACACCAUGGGAGUUGGUUUUACCUGAAGCUAGUUCGCUAACCGCAAGGAGGCAGCUAACCACGGUAAGAUUAGCGACUGGGGUGAAGUCGUAACAAGGUAACCGUAGGGGAACCUGCGGUUGGAUCACCUCCUUUCU
rnacentral:rRNA from 1 species